rnacentral:rRNA from 1 species
GACGAACGCUGGCGGCGUGCCUAAUACAUGCAAGUUGAGCGAUGAAGAUUGGUGCUUGCACCAAUUUGAAGAGCAGCGAACGGGUGAGUAACGCGUGGGGAAUCUGCCUUUGAGCGGGGGACAACAUUUGGAAACGAAUGCUAAUACCGCAUAACAACUUUAAACAUAAGUUUUAAGUUUGAAAGAUGCAAUUGCAUCACUCAAAGAUGAUCCCGCGUUGUAUUAGCUAGUUGGUGAGGUAAAGGCUCACCAAGGCGAUGAUACAUAGCCGACCUGAGAGGGUGAUCGGCCACAUUGGGACUGGGACACGGCCCAACCUCCUACGGGAGGCAGCAGUAGGGAAUCUUCGGCAAUGGACGAAAGUCUGACCGAGCAACGCCGCGUGAGUGCAGAAGGUUUUCGGAUCGUAAAACUCUGUUGGUAGAGAAGAACGUUGGUGAGAGUGGAAAGCUCAUCAAGUGACGGUAACUACUCAGAAAGGGACGGCUAACUACGUG